UACGGAGGAUGCGAGCGUUAUCCGGAUUUAUUGGGUUUAAAGGGUGCGCAGACGGCACGGCAAGCCGGCGGUCAAAUCGCGGGGCUCAACCCCGCCCAGCCGUCGGAACUGCCGGGCUAGAGUGGGCGAGAAGUGCGCGGAAUGCGUGGUGUAGCGGUGAAAUGCAUAGAUAUCACGCAGAACUCCGAUUGCGAAGGCAGCGCACCGGCGCCCUACUGACGCUCAGGCACGAAAGCGUGGGUAUCGAACAGG
rnacentral:rRNA from 1 species